AUGGAGAAGACCGAGCUGGUCCAGAAGGCCAAGCUGGCCGAACAGGCCGGCGCUACGACGACAUGGCCACCUGCAUGAAGGCUGUGACCGAGCAGGGCGCCGAGCUGUCCAACGAGGAGCGCAACCUGCUGUCGGUAGCUACAAGAACGUGGUCGGGGGGCCGCCGCUCCGCCUGGAGGGUCAUCUCCAGCAUCGAGCAGAAAACCGACACCUCGGACAAGAAGCUGCAGCUGAUAAAGGACUAUUCGGAGAAAGUGGAGUCGGAGCUGAGGUCUGUAUUUAAUAGCCAAUGCAACUACUCCAGAGAGUAAGGUCUUCUAUCUGAAAAUGAAGGGAGAUUAUUUCCGGUACCUUGUUGAAGUUGCAUGUGGUGAUGAUCGAAAACAAACUAUAGAUAAUUCCCAAGGAGCUUACCAAGAGGCAUUUGAUAUAAGCAAGAAAGAGAUGCAACCCACACACCCAAUCUGCCUGGGGCUGGCUCUUAACUUUUCUGUAUUUUACCAUGAGAUCCUUAAUAACCCAGAGCUUGCCUGCACACUGGCUAAAACGGCUUUUGAUGAGCCCAUUGCAGAACUUGAUACACUGAAUGAAGACUCCUACAAAGACAGCACCCUCAUCAUGCAGCUGCUUAGAGACAAUUUAACAUUAUGGACAUCAGACAGCACAGGAGAAGAAUGUGAUGCGGCAGAAGGGGCUGAAAACUAAACUGCAAACAGGGUGUCGUCCUUCUUCCCUUCAAGAAACCUUUUUACACAUCUCCAUUCCUAUUCCACUUGGAUUUCCCGUAGCAAAGAAACCCAUUCAUGUGUAUGGAAUCAACUGUUUAUAGUCUUUUCACACUGCAGCUUUGGGAAAACUCCAUUCCUUGAUUUGUGUUUGGCUUGGCCUUCCUGGUGUGCAGUUACUGCUGUAGAAAAGUAUUAAUAGCUUCAUUUCAUAUACACAUAAGUAACUUCCAGACACUUAUGUAGAGGCUAAAAAUGCAUCUGGUAUAAGUAAUCUGAACCAGUUCUACAAGUGACUGUGUUUUGUAUUACUGUGAAGAUAUGAAAAGUAGUUAAUUACAAUUUAAAGAGUGUUCUACAUUACCUUCUUAAUUUCUACAUUCCCUCCUUUAUUCUUUGGGGGUUUCCUUUCAGAAAGCGACUUUUCCAUGCUCUUACUGUAUUCCUUUUUAGUAGGAAUCCAGAUGUAUUAGACUGAAUGGGAAAGUACUUGAUGUUUCUGGGCUGGGGUCACAAAUUGAAAUGCCUCCUGUUUUCACAUAUUAGGAGGUUAUGUCUGUCUGUGACAACAAGGAGUUUCCUAUUCAUUCUUUAUUUGCUGCUGUUUAAGUUGACAACUUCCCUUCCCAAUAAAAAUUCACUUACA